UACAGAGGUCCCAAGCGUUGUUCGGAUUCACUGGGCGUAAAGGGUGCGUAGGCGGGCCUUUAAGUCAGUGGUGAAAGCUCCGAGCUUAACUCGGAAACUGCCAUUGAUACUAUUUGUCUUGAAUAUUGUGGAGGUAAGCGGAAUAUGUCAUGUAGCGGUGAAAUGCUUAGAUAUGACAUAGAACACCAAUUGCGAAGGCAGCUUACUACACAACGAUUGACGCUGAGGCACGAAAGCGUGGGGAUCAAACAGG
rnacentral:rRNA from 1 species